rnacentral:lncRNA from 1 species
CGGUCGUUGCGGCCGUCGUCGUCAUAACCUAGGCUGACGUUAAGAUUGAUGCUGAGGAGAUUACUAGGACACCCACGUCAACAACAUUGAGAUUGCCACCCUUGUCAAGGCACCCUCAACGAAAUGGACGCCUACGCCGACAACGAGACGCCGACGUCGAGGCACCCUUGUCGAAAUGGACACCGACUUCGAGGCACCCUUGUGGACGACGACGUCGAGGCGCCCUCGUCAAAAUAGAGGCCGACAUCGAGGCACCCUCGUCGAAAUGGACGCCGACGUCGAGGCGCCCUAGUCAAAAUGGACGCCGACUUCGAGGCGCCCUCUUCGAAAUAGACUCCAACGUCGAGGCACCCUCGUCGAAACGGACACCGACGUAGAGGCACCCUUGUUAAAGCCGACGUCGAGGCGCCUUAGUCUAAAUGGACGCCAACGUCGAGGCGCCCUCGUCAAAACGGACGCCGACGACGAGACUCUGACGUUGAGGCGCCCUCGUCGAAAUGGACACCAACGUCAAGGCACCCUUGUCGAAGUAGACACCUACGCCGACGUCGAGAGUUAGCGCGCGG